rnacentral:tRNA from 1 species
GGUUGUGGCUCAGUGGUAGAGCGCUUGCCUAGCAUGCGUGAGGCACUGGGUUCAACCCCCCGCACCA